GAGAGAGGGAGGGGAGAAAGAGAGAGAGAGAACGAGCGAGAGAGCGGAGGUGGUGACUUCAUUACCAUUCUUGAACAAGACCUCCCCCUUUCCUCCCCUCCUUUCUGCUUAUGUUUUUCCUUUUUUCCCCUCCCUCCCUCUCCCUCCCUUCCUCCCUCCCUCACCUCCCUCCCUCCCCUCUCCCAGGCAGCAUGCCAGUGUUCAUCCUGCCUCAGGUCUCUGGUCGUGCGGCUCCUCAGUAGCAAGCUCGCGGGCUCCCUGGUCCAGUUCCUCCGCCGGACCCUGGCCCACCGGCGCCUCCCACAUCGCCGCGGCCCUGCGACACGUCUGGGACCGGCUUCGAUCGCAGGAGUCCAAGGAGGCCAUCCUCGGCUGCGUUGCUGUGCAUUCUCAACAUGCACAAGAAGGUGGAGACCUGAGCACACACUCCCUCCCACCAGCCCGCCGGUACCUCCUCUCUCCUCCUCCUCCUCCUCCUCCUCCUCCUCCUCCUCCUCCUCCUCCUCCUCCUCCAGCGACUCUGUUUUCCUCUCUCUCUCCUACAUUGUCUGCUGGAUAGUAAGAGAGAGAGAGAGAGAGAUAGGAGGAGGAGAGAGCCGCGGAACAGAUGUGACAGGACUUUUUUUCACACCUCUCGUUUUGGGGACUUUACAAUCUACAUUUUUUGCCGCACGUGUGUGUGUGAGUUUUUUCGUUUUUUUCUCUUUCUUUCCUGACGUUUUUCUUAAAUUAUUCUCACUCCGGCCGACGACAAUGUCGGAGAGCAUCGCGAGGAAGGUCCAGCCUUUCACCAUCGGCACCAAGCUGUCCGCCCCGGCGGUGCCCAAGAGCCCCGACUUCACGCCACAGAGCUUCCACCUCCGUCCCCUACACCACCACCCUCAACACCGCCUCCGUCACCAACACCACCACAGCGUCAACAAGAGCCUGGACAACCGCACGCCGGCCUCCUGCAACCUCAACGACAACGCCUCUCUCUACCUCAGCCUCUCUCAGGGGUCCCAGGCGUCCCAGGCCGGCCACGGACCCCUCACUGUCUCAGUCCUGCCCCCCCACUGUGAGGCAGACCGGGACCCUGACACAAGCGGUGGUGCUGGCGGUGGCAGUCCAGCCGGCUGGGGACAUGGCAGAGGAGGACCAGCUGAACCAGAAUGUUCUGGCUGCUACUACUACUACUACUACUACUACUACUGCUACUGGGAGUGCUACGUCCACCACCACCACCACCACGGCCGUGUCGCGGUCCAUCAAGAAGAUCACCAUCUCAGGCAGCAGAGAGAGCAGCCGGGAGACGCAGGCUGCCAGUAG
rnacentral:lncRNA from 1 species